rnacentral:misc_RNA from 1 species
GAUGAAGAACGUAGCGAAAUGCGAUAAGUAAUGUGAAUUGCAGAAUUCAGUGAAUCAUCGAAUCUUUGAACGCACCUUGCGCCUUUUGGUAUUCCGAAAGGCACACCUAUUUGAGCGUCAUGAAUACCUCAAUCUCCAUCUUUUCUUCGGAUUGAUGGGUGACUUGGAUGUUGAGCCCUGCUGGUAUGCUAUAUCAGCUGGCUUUAAACUUAUUAGCCGGCUCUGUACUGGAUCGGUUUGACUCGACGUGAUAAUAUUAUCGUUGAGGAUGCAUGUCUCAUGCAGCCGGAAAGUAUCAAAGCAGCUUCUAGCUUGCCUUUAGUGCACUUUUACAUUUUAGACCUCAGAUCAGGUGGGACUACCCGCUGAACUUAAGCAUAUCAAUAAGCGGAGGA